CGCAUGACACAGAUCAGCCAUGUCUAAGGCCUGCUAUUAUGAGACACUGGAAGUCGAACGUUCUGUCGACGAAGCCGGCCUGAAGUCGGCCUUCCGCAAGCUCGCGAUGAAAUGGCACCCGGACAAGAAUCCGGGCGACCCGUCCUGCGAGCACAAGUUCAAGGAAAUCUCCGAGGCCUACGAGAUCCUCAAGGAUGGCAACAAGCG
rnacentral:misc_RNA from 1 species